AGUACAUGUUUUGCAUUUAAUUCAGUCCCUGGUUUCUUCUAGCUGAAUGGAAAACAUCCUCCAGAGAACUCCUACUAUCCAAUGGCAAUGUUCACACAGCUUACUUAAUUAGGAAUUUCUAGAAUGAACUGGCAAGCCCUGUUUUACCCUGCCUCCAUUCAGCUGACCUCAUCUAGACUCCUGGUUGUGAUUUAUACAGCUUUCUCCCGCUGUUUUCCACUCUUCCAAAUGGUUUUUUUUUUUUCCUCUUAAGCUGCCAACAUCCCACCACAAUCUCAUGCACAACUGCCCCAUGUUUUCU